CGGAACGUAGCUCAGUUUGGUAGAGCACCCGCUUUGGGAGCGGGCGGCCGUAGGUUCAAAUCCUAUCGUUCCGA
rnacentral:tRNA from 3 species